rnacentral:rRNA from 1 species
GACGAACGCUGGCGGCGUGCUUAACACAUGCGAGUCGAACGGAAAGGCCCUGCUUUUGUGGGGUGCUCGAGUGGCGAACGGGUGAGUAACACGUGAGUAACCUGCCCUUGACUUUGGGAUAACUUCAGGAAACUGGGGCUAAUACCGGAUAGGAGCUCCUGCUGCAUGGAGGGGGUUGGAAAGUUUCGGCGGUUGGGGAUGGACUCGCGGCUUAUCAGCUUGUUGGUGGGGUAGUGGCUUACCAAGGCUUUGACGGGUAGCCGGCCUGAGAGGGUGACCGGCCACAUUGGGACUGAGAUACGGCCCAGACUCCUACGGGAGGCAGCAGUGGGGAAUAUUGCACAAUGGGCGGAAGCCUGAUGCAGCAACGCCGCGGGCGGGAUGACGGCCUUCGGGUUGUAAACCGCUUUCGCCUGUGACGAAGCGUGAGUGACGGUAAUGGGUAAAGAAGCACCGGCUAACUACGUG